UCGUGGAGUGAUUUGUCUGGUUAAUUCCGUUAACGGACGAGACCUCAACCUGCGAAACUAGUCCCCGUCCCAGAGUCGCACAGACGCGGGAGACUUCUUCGAGGGACUAUGCGGUUACACAAACGCAUGGAAGUUUGAGGCAAUAACA
rnacentral:rRNA from 1 species